rnacentral:rRNA from 1 species
UGGCUCAGAACGAACGCUGGCGGCAGGCUUAACACAUGCAAGUCGAGCGCCCCGCAAGGGGAGCGGCAGACGGGUGAGUAACGCGUGGGAAUCUACCCAGCUCUACGGAACAACUCCGGGAAACUGGAGCUAAUACCGUAUACGUCCUUCGGGAGAAAGAUUUAUCGGAGUUGGAUGAGCCCGCGUUGGAUUAGCUAGUUGGUGGGGUAAAGGCCUACCAAGGCGAGGGACAAUAGCUGGUCUGAGAGGACGACCAGCCACACUGGGAUUUUUUCACGGCCCAGGGACAUACGGGAGGC